ensembl:lncRNA
UUUUAUAUAUAAAAAAAAACAUUGACGUUGUCUACAUCACAGACAAGAAUCAUCAAUAUUCUGUUUAAAACAAUGUUGCCAUGAACAGAAGGAACCCCAUGCCCAUCCUCCUCUAUACACAGUAUACUGUAGUUCCUCUUCUGUCAUUUUGCAUUUUUAUCAAAGUAGUAUCAAUAGCUUUAAAAUACAUACAAUGCUCUUUCCAUUGCAAUUAUAGUCGCUAUCCUGAUUGUACAUACAGUAUAAUUUCCCACAGUUAGUCUGAUUUUCAACAUGUUGUCACAAAGUAUUCCGAGCAGACAACGUUUCAUUCAUUUAACACUUGGCAGAAUUGUAAUGUUUUGUACAUGAGAAGCAUUUCCAUACGACCGCCGGCUGUCGUGAGAAUGGACACACUGCAGAGUUUUUGAAUACACAGUUUUGAAUACACAAUACAUUAAAUUAUUUUAUCCCUAAUCCACAUCUUUUAUUCAUGUGUUCCUCCCAUUUGACGUCAGAAAUGUCCUGAACCCUUCUCAGACUCUCCAAGGGGCUUUACUGCCAACUGGUACAUCUGCCCAAAAUUGAGAUUAUAAGGUACAGUCAGAGAAUCUCAGUAAUCCUCAAUAAGAAGAGUUACACUAAAGGAACAACAGAGAGAUUAUAAAAGGUCACUUCAACAAAAGAGUUAUAAAAGCGGAACUUGUCCAUGUAUUUCUAUGGAUUUGUUAUACAAGAGUUUGGCAAUAAAGUUCUAAGUGUUGAACACAAGCUGUUGGCAGUAGUGGGGCUGUGCUCAAUCAACUUUUUACUACAUAGGAUUAAAAAACUGAUUUAUAAGUACCCGACGAAUUGGAAAAAAACAACUAACUAAUUAAACCUCGUAUUAGUGUCAUGGAGCUCCAGUGUUCAGCUCAGAGAUCACCAUGCACACACAACUUUACAAAUAAUUGAGUGGAAGACUUGUUUUUCCAGGAGUAGGUUUGGAUUUCUAUCUCCGCAUGGAGAGAAUUCAAACAUACAGUAACUGAUUAAUGACCAAAAACCAGUAAUCACAGCCAGGCACUGGAGUGUCCUCUCACAUAUGAGUUGAGGGCCGAGUCAGAGUAAAUAUCGCAAACUUUUUAACUCUAGGAUUAAAACCCUCAAAUUGUAUUUCAUGUGUAUCAGCUGGCGAGUGCAGUCAAGUGUUUAAUAUCUACCGCAGGGUCAACAUUAUUUGGUUAGGGAAAUAAAAACUCAACCUAAAUGUGGGAAAAGCUACCAUUCUCAAAAUCACAUCAAGAGAGCCUUUUCAUUCGUACCCUGUAGACACACAGCCACAGCCCAGCAUGAAAGAGUUGGUCGAUGCCGUGUGUUCAGCAUCGCAGCACCAUAUCCAGUAGACGAUUUAGUUGCAUACCAACACGUCCUGAUUCAAUGUACAGUAUCACUAAAGUCACAACAUGACCAAACUCUCCACCAGCACCUUUGGAUACAGUAACCAGCCAUAAACUUUAGAUCACAUCACCUUAUGAAAAACACGUAACGUAUCUUUUGGCCCAGUGGCUGUCCAAGUAAAAAAAAGGAUUAUUUUUUUGUGUUCUUUUUUAUUUAUUUUUUUUUAAAUCAGCUGUGGCUGAUUCCGUGACAACUUUUUAAAAAACUAUCUUCAUAGUAGACUUUUGAAUUGUUGUCAGACUUUUUUUUGGCAAUUUGUUUGACAGCAGCAGCAGCCUGUUGUCAAUGGAAUAAAUGACAAAGUAAUGCGGGUGAGCAGGAAUGGCACUCGUAGUUUCAACCAAGUCCAGUGUUUGAGUGUUAGAGAAAAAACGAGAGAGAAGUAGCACGAUUCAGGGAACCGAAUCCCCGUCCAGAUAAUCCACAUCCAAAUAACAGCCGCACGCAGGCGUGUUAAUGCUGUUUUAGCCCCGCAUCAGCAUUCACACACCAGCAAUUGCUGCACUGAGGAGUUACAAUCGUCUCCUUUCAUGAGUGUUUUUGGGGGUUCAGAAUAUACUGCAAGUGAAUUGGAAAACGCAUUUCCUUUUCUGUGAUGCAUUGAGUAAGAAGGGGACAACUUAUUUUAUAUACAAGACACCGGUAACUCCAUUCAUUUCUUCUGGGUGUAAAAAAAACAGGAAAGUCAUUCAAAAUACGAUUUGACAUCAAAUUCUUUACAAUGCAGAAUCCUCAGACUCAUUCGUAACAUUUUCUCUCUGCAACUUGUUGGCUGCAAUGUGUCUACUGAUAAUCUGCUCCGUGUGGAACGUCCCGGCUGCAACGUGGCGUCAGCUUUUACACCGAGCAAGUGGGCGGCUGGUAGUGGAUAGUUCAAAAUGAAAACACAAUAAGGGGCCUGAAGUGAAUGAAACCGAGUGUGUGAAACGAAUGAUGAUCUUUUUUCUUCUUCUUCUGUUUCUUUUUGGCCGAACCGUAGCGUGACGAAGCCAAAGAAAAGAGUGAUGGAGUGCUUACAUUGUGGCUGAAGUGUUAGGCACUGCAAAAAAAUAGAACGUUUUUUUUUUUUCUUCAUCUUUCUCAUAAACACAGUAAGGCAAUUUGAUUAUGGCUGACUGAUAUCAAUAUAAGUGUCCAAUCUGUCUUCUGUUAAGUUCGACAUAUUCGCAAUUUAGACUCCGGAGAUAAACAACACUUUUUUCCAUUUUCACAACCCAUUUUAAGAUUACCUGUGUAAAAACAGCUACAAUCAAAAAUGAGGCACUUUAUAAAAGAGUAUAUAGUUAUCUAGGCUAUAUAGUAAUAAUCAUAUGUAUGCUGUAUAUUUGAUAUACCAUUGUAAUGUGUCACUUUAUAUUAGAAUUGUGAAAAUGAGGAAAACUGACUACAGCACGUACUAUAGUUUCAUAGUUUCAUUCUACUUGUACACUGUAGUAUAGUAUAAAUACACAUAUAAUAAAGCUCAGUUGCCCCAAAAAAGUAUUUACACUCUUACUUUUUUAACUUUUUGCACUACAAAAUGGUUUAAAUGCAAGAGCUUAUUUGGUCUGCGUCAACUCAAAAAGCUACAUUAUGUUAUACUGUCAUUGAUACAGUUGUGUGAAAUUUGAAAAUUCCAGCUGGGAAAAAUAACAUUGCUUAUUAUCUAGUCAAAUGUAUUAUUAUCUAGUCAAAAUCUAUAUCUACGACUUCCUAUGUGGGCAUUUUGAGCAUCUCAGAUUCAUUCUUGGUGUAAUAAAUAAGGAGUGGAACAAUAAAGACUAUUUACCAUUUUGCUGUCAUUGUCAAAAUACAUAUAUUAUACUGAGAUAUGGGGGGAGUAAGGUUGUUUUGUAAAAUUAGAAAUGAGUCGGCCCCUCCCUACCCAAAUGAUUUUCAUUAACAAUCAUUUGAAAGCCCCCCAGGCUGUUUUAUUUUCAAUAGUCUGUUAUCACGUCCCCUCAGUGACAACAUUUAUAUACGUACAAUUUAAUUAUUGUCCUUGCUGCGCAUUUGAAGCCAAUUAGAUUAAGCUGUUUACAAGCAUAGCAGAAGAACAUUAUGUUGAUUUGGCAAUUUUUAUGCAAUGUUGCACACGGUGAUCAUUGAAUACAUUGCUGUUUGUGUAUGCAUCCCUUUUGAUCCAAUUAAAUGAUUGAAUGUUUUUUCUGUUGAUUGCAGUUACAGAAGGUUUGAAGUAUUAGUAAAUGUGUUCAAUAUGUUCAGUUUUAUUUUGAGUUAAAAACUAUAAUUGUAUAAAACGGGGCAGACAUUCUACAAAAAGGACAGAAGUCUCACUGAGGCGACAGGUGAAUGAACGUUCCCUUCAUUCCUUACACCCCACCGUAUGAAUGACUCCACCAAAUAUCCAAAAUACCACUGAAAUACAUCAACUAAUAUUACCUGCAGCUUUCGAGGAUGAGCUACGGGACUUGACUAAAUCAUGAUUUGUUUGUGAAAAAUCAAAGGUGGGGCUGUAUAAGCACGUAUCCUGUGUGAGUGCACGUUGAAGGAUUUAGGAAUAAAACGUCUGUUUGUACUGUGUAGGAAAACACUGAAUUACAUCACGACCAUUUUUGAAAGGAAAAAAAAAACUCAUCCCUCAACCGCAACCUAAAGCUCAGCUCAGAGUACAAGAGAUGUCAAUGUCAAAUGCUGUGUGAAAAGGAAUUUGUAAUACUAGGAUAUACUGUUAUUAAUAUUUCAUAAAGAAUAUAUCAGAUGUGUGGAAUUUCAACACAACCAAUUUCCCCUUAUUUGAAAAACGGAAACAAAUGAAAAAUGUCAAUUCAAUGUGUAUGUCGUUAUGUAAUUGUCAAUAAUAUGAACCUAAUUGUACCUCAGAAAUCAAACAGUAUAGCACAAGAAAAGUGGUAAAGUAUAAAGGCUUUUUUGGGCAACUGUAUGUAAUAAACCAAUGACUUUAACAGUGACAGAGAAUGUGUAAGUGUAUGAAACCUCUUUCAAUCUGUAUUUCCUUCCCUUUUCAAAAUGACACCUGAUGAUCAUUUAACUUAAUACACAUGGACAAAGGACGAUAUAUAAAAACAUGAAGCUCAAGUUUGGCACUUAAUAAAUAACACUCCGGAGUGCAGCCUAGAAUGGUUUAGGAUGGUUUGAAAGAUUGUGUGUAAAAUUAACAAUUAUUUUAAUUUAUUAUGCACAGAUGGACAUUUGUAUUGCCAGAAUGGCCACCUGAGAAGUCACCCACAGUCACGCAUCAACGUGUCAUUCUUUAUCUGUAUUAAGCUAAAAGCCACCAGGACGAGGAGGAGUUUUCCAGGGUUUUCAGUGUUCACACUCCGGGUACGGUUGUGUUGUGGCAACAGAUCGGGCCGCCGGCCGCCCCCUCAACAAUCUGUUGGAGACCAACAAUC